rnacentral:misc_RNA from 1 species
AACAAGGCGUACCUGCGGACCUGCGGAGGGAUCAUUACCGAGUUUACAACUCCCAAACCCCUGUGAACAUACCAAUUGUUGCCUCGGCGGAUCAGCCCGCUCCCGGUAAAACGGGACGGCCCGCCAGAGGACCCCUAAACUCUGUUUCUAUAUGUAACUUCUGAGUAAAACCAUAAAUAAAUCAAAACUUUCAGCAACGGAUCU